GUAAGAUUUCCCUGAGUCAGAGUCCUGAGAUUUUGAAGAAGGAAUCAGCAUUGGGUGAAAGGAAUACACAAAGAAGCAGCACUGGAGUGAUAUAGAGGAAGACUACAUAGAGGUGGGUAUCCUACUACAACAAUGAACUAGAAACAACAAGCACCAAUGAAGUGCGCUUACAAUUUUGAAACAGUUCUACGUUGCUUCAACAUGCUUCCAUUAGAGUGUCAGAGGUAAGGUUAGAUGUCAGAGAACGUAUUCUGAGCUGGCCCAGCAACAAUUCAAAUUUAUGCUCAUACAAUUAGGUGAUUUUAACAGUUAAAUGAAUGACAAAGGAAUGAAAGUGAAAAACAUCUAAAAUAACAAAAUACUGUAUACCAUUUGUGAUUAGCAAACUGAGUUUCACAUGGCAAAUUUUAGGUUGAAAAUAGCAAAUGUGUACAACGGAAUGCUAUGUGGAUGCUGUUCAUUAGACACGUGCAAUUCACUUUAUUUAUUUUGUUCGAAUUCAUCCAAAUUCUUUGGAAUCCAAAAUGAAACGAGAAGGAACAAACUCGGAACAAAACAAAUUAUUUUAAAUUAAUUUGUUUUCAUAGGGAUAGCAAAUGAGGGACAUAUCUACUAAGAAACUGAAAAAGCAAAAUUAAGUAAAAGGCCUUGUUUUAAUUUUGCUCUUUCAACUGAUUUUAGAUAGCUCACUAAUUUGGCAUUAUUACUGGGAUUGCCAUAAUUAAGGGUACCAACUUGUUGCUCUGUUUAGGAGAUAGCCCCAUAUUUGGUAAUUGGUCGGUAUAAUUUUUUAUUUUUGUUUACCUUCUUAAUUUCUGAUGGGCAUUAGCUUGUACAUGAACAGGCAUUGACAAAUGACAGUUUUAGUCAUGAAACAUGGUUACAACAUUGUUUUUUUUUAGUGAAGAAACUGGCAAUGUGAAAAUAAGUAACCUUAAUAACAAUUCUAUUAAUUGGGGAAGGAAAUACUGAUAACAUGGAUAAUCCCCCAUAAGACGAACAGUGGGAGAACAUAGCUUAAGCGUAUUAAACUUUCGUCUGUGGGGCAAUUAUCAGCCGUAAUUAUAUGCCACAUUAUAAACUAAGGGGCAAACGCCUUUUAGCACGCGUGGUUAAAGGGACACUAUAGUCACCUGAACAACUUCAGCUUAAUGAGGUUGUUCAGGUGAGUGCUACAGCUCCCUGCAGCCUUUUUCUUGUAAGCACUGUAUUUUCUGAGAAAAUACAGUGUUUACAUUGGAAGCUUGGAACACCUCUUGUUGCAGUCAAUCAGACGGCCACCAGAGGGACUUCCGAGUUCAGAAGCCCUAAAAAGGCUUCAUUCACGUCUGACGUAUUAAUGCAUGGGUGAAUACUUCAGACGUGCUAUCAGCACACAAAGCACUGUGAACGCGCUUUGUGUGCUGAGGCUGUCAGCACUGCAUGGGAGUGGCUUGAGCUGACAGGCUGAAGACCGAAGAGGAGGAGGGGAGGAUUCAAACUGUGUAAGUAAACUUAUUUAGUGAGUGUGGGUGGGUGACUGAGGAUGGAUGAUGGGGAUGGAUGGAUAUGGAUGAUGGGAGUGGAUGGAUAUGGAUGAUGGGAGUGGAUGGAUGAAUAUGGAUGAUGGGAAUGGAUAUGGAUGAUGGGAGUGGAUGGAUUUGGAUGAUGGGAAUGGAUGGAUAUGGAUGAUGGGGAUGGAUAUGGAUGAUGGGGAUGGAUAUGGAUGAUGGGGAUGGAUGGAUGGGGAUGGAUAUGGAUGAUGGGGAUGGAUGGAUGAUGGGGAUGGAUGGAUAUGGAUGGAUGGAUAUGGAUGAUGGAUGGAUGGAUGGGAUAUGGAUGGAUAUGGAUGAUGGGAUGGAUGGAUGGAUGAUGGGAUGAUGGAUAUGGAUGAUGGGGAUGGAUAUGGAUGAUGGGGAUGGAUAUGGAUGAUGGGGAUGGAUGGAUGGGGAUGGAUAUGGAUGAUGGGGAUGGAUGGAUGAUGGGGAUGGAUGGAUAUGGAUGAUGGAUAUGGAUAAUGGGGAUGGAUAUGGAUGAUGGGAAUGGAUGGAUAUGGAUGAUGGGGAUGGAUGGAUGAUGGAUGGAUAUGGAUGAUGGGAAUUGAUAUGGAUGAUGGGAAUGGAUGGAUAUGGAUGAUGGGAAUGGUAGGAUGAUGGGGAUGGAUAUGGAUGAUGGGGAUGGAUGGAUAUGGAUGAUGGGGAUGGAUAUGGAUGAUGGGAAUGGAUGGAUGAUGGGAAUGGACGAUGGGAAUGGAUAUGGAUGAUGGGGAUGGAUAUGGAUGAUGGGAAUGGUUGGGAUUGGAUGAUAUGGAUGAUGGGAAUGGAUGGAUGAUAGGGCUGGAUAUGGAUGAUAGGGAUGUAUGGAUAUGGAUGAUGGCGAUGGAUAGAUAUGGAUGGAGAAAGAGUGUGUGUGUAUGUCUAAUUUUUUACUACUUGUGUGUUUGCAUAGAAACACUAUAUAUAGGGAGAUCUCUAUACAUAGUGUUUCUAUGCAAACACAGUUUGGCUGAGGAGGGGGCGGGUAUAGAAAUCGAGCUGAGCUGUCAGUCAGACAGCUCAGCUCGCGAACACGCAUUCCGCGCACAUGGGUGGCAUUCAAUGCUGCUCUAUGAAGAAUGCGAUUGGUGCUGCGCGAAACCGCGCAUGCGCACCACAUCGCGAUGACGCUUCUCAAGGAGAAGCGUCCUAUUGGGCCCUGCGAUUUCGUCAUUUUGACUGAAAAGGGGGCGUGGCCUAGCGGGGAGCUCGGCGCUGGAACGGAGGUAAGUUUUAUUAUUAAAACUUACUCAGAUUUUUUUUUUUUUUUUUUUUUAUGACAAGUUCAUAUAAAAGCAAGAAAGAAGGCUGGGGGACCUGUCUUUCUUGCUUUUAUAUGUUGACUAUAGUGUCCCUUUAAGGUAGAGAGGGAUAAAGCAGUAUAUUACUCAUGGGAUGUCAGCUUGUGGAGCCAAAUUGAAAGAAAAGAACAAUUGCAAACAAAUUGAAUAAACAUAACAAAACUUGUAAUAAAAGAACAUUGACAGGUUCAGUGCCAGUCAAGUGGGUGUAUCGCCAGCCUGUAAGGAGUCUCUGCACAAAAGGUGUGUCUACUGACCAUAAUGGUUCAUUCCUCGCGUGUAUGGGCACGUUUGGCAGCCCCAUCUCUUGAAGCAUAGCAAGUGCCUCGGAAGGGUGAAGGGUAUGCUGUCCUCAUCUGAGGAUUCCGAGGCAGAGACCGCCAUGGGUGCCAUCUUGGCAGGCUCGGGCCUAGGCGCCUGUGUCAUGAAAGUCCCGAUAACGCGGGACCCGGAACCCUGAUCGGCCCGGUGCUCUAUUGCUUUAUUUCCCAUCUGUGUCAAAAGGAGCUGGGUCACGAAUUGAGUCACAGUUAAGCGAUUUCAGCUUUCAAAAAGCGCAUGUAUGUACAAUGCAGAACGGAGCUCCGGUAGCAUGUGUCCGUCUCGCUUGGAUGCUGGCUCCGCCUCCCAUAAUUAAUUUUUUUAAUCCAUAUUUUUAUGCAGGGUGAUACAUAUAAAGAGCAUAAGAGUCACACAGUAGUAUGGAUUCUGUGUCAUAUUCUAUAUCCUAUUUUUUUAAGUAUAUAGAUACACAAGUAAUCAAGCUAGUGGUCUCUUGAGCAGUCUCUGUGUUAUUAAAAUACUUGGAACAAUAUGGUAAAACCAUGAUUAUUGCCACAAAUAAAAGAUAUAAUGCUAUGUCAUCCUGCUAGAUGGGCUCAAUAGGGAUUUGGUAACCCUGACCAACGGGGUAGUGGGGGGGGGGGAUAUACUGCAAACUAUGGAGACCAUAGCUGAACAUUACAUACAGGCACAAGGCUAAAUAGGAAACAUGCAUAAUAUGGUAUGAAAGAGAACUAAAUAAACAUAGCGUAAAACAGGAAAACAAUAAAACAAACAAAAAUAAGACGGAUCAUCUUGGGAGUCUCAGGCCUCCUACACAAACUCAGACCAGGUCCCCGAGAAUGAGUCCUCUCCUCUUCUAUGUAUAAAGAGGACUGGCUGGGUGCUAGGAGUAGGGCUAUUGGCUUCCAAUGUUGGCACCACAAGACCUAAUGCUGUAAAUAAGGAGCCUCUUUGAUAGAUUACAUUUUCAGUGGGUGACAGAGAGGGCCUAGAAUGUUGCCCAUCGGUACUCCAUACUGGCUGCUUACAGCUUUUACAGAAUGCAAUGACGUUUUCCAUUGAAGUGUGGAUCUAGUAAGGGUGUGAUAUAGUGAGAUGUGAGAAUUCAAAUGAGUAAGGCGUGUUGCGGUGAAAUGUAGCCACCAUGAACUGACGUUUAUCAAAGGAUGCGGGGUAUCUUUUGAUGACAUCACACAUGGCAGAAGAUUUGGUUGUAAGAUAGGCUCCAUGGAAAAUGAUCUUAUCAGCAUGGCUCGGAGGGAGAAAAGACACCAUAAGCUGGUGUCACCGGUUCCUCCAUUGCAAUUGCUUCCUGGGAUUCCUCUGAUUUUGACAUUGUUGCUCUGGCUACGGUCAUCCAGAAGGGCCUCUUGCAUGGUGAGUGCAUGAAGGGCUUGAGAUGCCAUAUGAGAUAUACAGGGGACAGCUGAGCCACGGUAUUAAUAAGCAAGAAAACCAGUGUCUUUGCCUUUUCUGUUGAAUCUUGCGAGCGCUGCACACAGAAUAGGGUCUUCUUGAUCAAGAUCCGCGCCAUUUACUAUAGGUAACCCUUAUAACAAUCCCACAUAAGGAUAACAAAUUAAGGAGUUAUCUACUAAACAACUGAAAGGACAACAUUAAGAAAAGGGCUUGGAUAACUCCCUGAUUUAGUAUCAUGCAUAUAUCACAUACAUUCUAUUUACAUGUAUGCCAUACAUUCAGUAUGCAUUCAGCCUAUACAUUAUUUUUUUGUAUAGAUUCUCUGUUAUGUCAUUAUAGUUGUUUUGCACUAAAUAAUAAAGACUGGCUUUUGAACUUGAUAAUCUAUUUGUGGUGUGCAUCCUUGUGCUUUCAUAUGUUUUGGCUGUGCCUCAUGCUGUUUUCUGGCACUGUGCUCUGGACAAAGAAAAAAGAGAAAGAACAACUCUGAGCUCACUGAUUUAUGGAUGGGCAUGUGAUUAGUUCAAGGUAACGUUGAUGCCAACAUGAUCUUUUGCAAUUAAUCAUAAUCGCAAUUAAUCAUAUUAAAAAAAAAAUAGAUCCACCUGGUCAUCGCCAUGUGUUAUGCAGACCUGCGGUAAAAAUCGCAUUUUAAACUGAUGAAGGGGAUGUGUAGGGAGGGCUAGCUAACUUAUUUUAUACUACAGAGGUAGGCAACAUUCAGCACCGUAUCUUAUGAACUAUAUCUCCCCUGAUGCAUUUUCAGUGUUAUUGCUGUAAGAGCAUGACAGGAGAUGUAGUUCACACUGUAUGUUGCCAGCAGUUCUGCUGGUACAGGAACAGCAGACCUUUUUACGUUUAAUCAAUCAGUUUAAUAAAGCAGUAUCUGCUUCUGAAUUAGUCUCUGUUUAGGGAUACGUGGACCACUCCUUUAUGACUUGUAAGCUGACAAACCACGAUUUUAAAUUCCUAGCACUAUGUGUCUAGUCUUAGAUGGACCAAAUGGAACAAAUAUUAACCCCUUAAAGACCAAACUUCUGGAAUAAAAAGGAAUCAUGACACGUCACACAUGUCCUGUGUCCUUAUGUUGUUAAUAUACUAAUUCAAAACAGUGGAAUUGGUCACUUUCUUGAAUAAAAAAGGAAAACUGACCAAGGAGGUCAGAACUAGGAGGAUGCCCCCUGGAGGAUUGUCAUAUGUUUAUGUGCAAAUAAAACAUAACCUUUAAUAAUUUUACAUAUAAAAGCUUCUGUCCAAUGAGGAACAAAAGAAUACGUUAAAAAAGAGUCUGGAUAGGUCAGAUAAAUAAUUCUAAUUGGGAUGUGCAAGCUGAAUUUCACAUCUAAUGAAUCCUAAGGUGAAAAGGACAUACACAGAGCCCAAUAAAUAGCUGAAUCAAAUCUAUGAUGCAAAUAGGAGGCAGCUAAUAAAAAAGUAAGGCUGUCACAAACAUAAACUGUAUAUAUAAACGUAUAUAUAAUAAUGUUAAUACGUUUAUAUAUACAGUUUAUGUUUGUCAUUUACUAAAGUUAUAAAAGAUUGAAUACAUUUCAUUUUUUAAAUUUUUUUAUUAUUAUUUUUUCCUUUGGAUACCGGUGGCGCAAAUUCCCUAGACAGCUGAUUCAUCAAUUUAAGCACAAUAUGUGAUACCCCACUAUUAAAUAUUAAAUAUAUAUCCCUAAAUUAAUACUGGAUACAGGAUCAUAAAUGUAGUGCCCGUACUCAUUAAUAUUUCAUUAUAAUGUACUACUAGUCACUUUUUUCCUUUAUCUGAUUUUUGUGGAAAGGGAUCUCUUGACUAGGAAAAUAUCAAGGUACAAUUAAUAGAUUUACAUUGUUUUGUUUCUGUGUGAUUUAGAUAUUGCAGUACAUUUAUAUGCUUAUAUACAUAAUUUGUUUGCUGCUAAAUUAAGCUUUUCUAAAUCUCCAUCUGAUUCUCACUCUAUGUACUCCAGCCUAUAUUUCGUUGGACAUCUUAUUACUGUCUUGGUAUUUACUUUAGCACACAAGGGGUUACUAUACACAUACAUCAAUUAAUAUGUGCCGAAUCAGUUAAUUCAUUGUGCCACCAGGGGGGGGGGGGUUAUCACUCCGGACUUUGAUGAUACGUCAUCAGGUAGGCGUGACUAUGUCCGGACUAUUCCCCCUUUUGGCGCGAACACUCCUCCAGCUGAUUGGCUGAAUAUAGAUAUAAAUUAGCCACCGGAUUCCCGAGGACGCCUGUAGAGCCUCAGACGAAGGCGCGUUUUUGCAGCGCCGAAACACGUGUUAGGUAGCAGGAUUUUGAGUCUGGUUAGGCAGGCUAGACAGCUGACUUCGAGAUGCUAAAGUGAUAGGCAGUUCUCUUUAUUAGUUUAUCGUGAUCUAGGUAGUCGACCCACUUUGAUUAUUUUGGGGACUAGGCAAGCUUGCUGGCAUACUGAUGGAGGUUUACCAUUAUUUAUAAAAUCUCCACGUUGCUGUCGUUAUUGCACUGCCCUCUGACAGCUGCAGAGGCAGAACUUUUACUACAUCAGGCAUGAUUCCUGUCUAGCUCAUUUUCUAGUAAGACUGUAACAAUCUCUCAGCGUUAAUCAACAAGGUGGCUAUUUUGCAUCCUAUGUAGCAAUAUUCUACCAAAUCAUAUUAUCAUUCACUGAGAGAGGGCUAACCUAGCAACAUAGUGACAGCCUUACUUUUUUAUUAGCUGCCUCCUAUUUGCAUCAUAGAUUUGAUUCAGCUAUUUAUUGGGCUCUGUGUAUGUCCUUUUCACCUUAGGAUUCAUUAGAUGUGAAAUUCAGCUUGCACAUCCCAAUUAGAAUUAUUUAUCUGACCUAUCCAGACUCUUUUUUAACGUAUUCUUUUGUUCCUCAUUGGACAGAAGCUUUUAUAUGUAAAAUUAUUAAAGGUUAUGUUUUAUUUGCACAUAAACAUAUGACAAUCCUCCAGGGGGCAUCCUCCUAGUUCUGACCUCCUUGGUCAGUUUUCCUUUUUUGCUAUACAUAUAAGUAAGGGUUACCCCCUAUUUUGGACGCCCCAGAUACACACCCUAACUGGUUUUUCCCUGUUUCAGGGUAUCCAGUAUUCUUUUCACUUUCUUGAAUAGCCAAACUAUAGAUCUGUUUUUCCAAAUUGGUAAUUUAAAAGAAAAAAUUUAUUCUUGUCACAUUGAUAUCAAUGGACAGAACCCACAAAACUUAGAUGUCUGUGCACUACUGUAAAUGUAGGUUAUCACCUAAACAAUCACUUGUAUCAUCAUGAUGAGGUAGGGCAUAACAAGCCAUAAAAAGGCAGUUAGGAUAAGUGUCUUUGGCAAUUGCUCAUUUAUUCGGUCAUGAAUCACUUACAAGCAUUGUCAUCUUCUUUACUGUGACUGGGAAAUAAGCACAGUGAUGUCAUAGAGUCAUCACUUCUAUUGUGGACUUAAUACACCACAGAAAGAGAAUGCAAUAUGUGACUUUGUGUCCCUGAUAUGUGUGAUAUGUGUCCCUGUGUGUUGGCAAGAGUGCGUUCAAAUAAUUAUAAAAGUAAAUACAGUUCAUCAUCAACCAGUUUACUGUUUAUAAUACGUAGAUUAAAGGAUCACGAUAGUGUCAGGAAACCAAACCCAUUUUCCUGACACUAUAUAACCCUUAGGUCCGUCCCCCCCCCUCCCUUGGCUCCCUUGGUGCUGAAGGCGUUAAAACCCCUUCAGUUACUUACUUUAAUCCAGCACUGGGCUCCCUUGGCACUGGUGACCUCUCUUCCCCUGCCGAAGUCAGCUCCCGAGUGGAGUGGAAUGUGCAUGCGCGGCAGGGGCCGCGUGCGCGUUCAAACAGUCCAUAGGAAAGCAUUUCUCAAUGCCUUCCUAUGGACAUUCUGCACGCUGAAUGCGAUUUCCGCAUCCAGCGUCGCAGAAGCGCCUCUAGCGGCUGUCAGGAAGACAGCCACUAGAGGUUGGAUUAACCCUGCAAUGUAAACAUAGCAGUUUACAUCUGAAGGGUUAAAACCUGGGGGAUCUGGCACCCAGACCACUUCACGUGCAAUCUCAUUAAGUAAAGAGAAACUAAGUAGAAAUUGGCUCACCAUUUUAAUCCAUAUAGGUAAUUUAUUAAACAAAGUCGUUAAAAUGAAAAGGAUUGGAGUGUUUCAUACAGGCUGAUCUUAUCCCAUAAACAGCUACCAACAAUAACUUAUGGGAUCAGUAGUUUAUACCCCAGAAACCGUUUUACUCAUCUCUUAGGAGGAGUAGAACUGUUCGAAAAACCAUGCUGUUUAUCAAAAGCUCAGUUUUCAUUUUAGUUUUAAAGAAUCACUAAAGUCAGUGGGAUUUAGUAGAGGGAAGGACUGGGAUUUAGUAUGGGGGGGCUGAAUUUAGUAGAGGGGGGAUGGAAUUUAGUAGAUGGGGGCUGGGAUUUAGUAGAGGAGGGGCUGGGAUUUAGUAUAGAAGGGUGCUGGGGUUUAGUAGAGGGGGAUGCUGUUUUCUAUUUAUACUUUGUUUUCUAAAUAAACCUAUGUUUCCAUGAAUAUUUAAGGUUGUUUUUUUUUUUACAGCCCACAUAAAUUUAAACCUUGUUUAUUUGGCCCGUGCUAGCCUUUGAUUUUGACAUGCUUGAUCUAAAGCAUUGCCACUUUUUUUUACAUGUCUACAUUGUAGCGUUAAGUCCACCUGUGACUGUUAUACUCAUACAGCCACUAGAGGUGCUUCUGCAGUAUGGACCAAGUCACAUGAUGUGGAAGUCCCAUAGGAAAGCAUUGAUGCACGUUCGGUACUUGUUGCGCAUGAACAUUAGGUCAUCAAUGCUCUGAAUUGGACAAACGUGAAGGCGGCCAUGCCUCUUCCAUGAUGACAUGGGAUGCAGGGACGUAAGUAGCACUAAAGGAGCCUCAGCACUCUAAAAAGGAAAGAAUAAAAAAAUUAAAAAAUUUUUUUUGCACAGAUCGGGGGGUGGGGGGGAGGGGAAUUUAUCUAACUGGCGGCAAGGACACUAAAGUGUACAGGUUUGUACAUUACUGAGGUAUGUACCCAAUGGAACAGCAAGCUUGCCCACUGGACACCAGCCAAGGACCACCAAGGAGACUUAAACCCCUCCAUGGACCACCAUGGCACAGGCAGAGAAUUAACGCACACACCCUCAGGGAUUUUUAACCCCUGCUGGACCACUAGGAUUCAUAGCCCCCUCCCUGCAGCCCUGCAGAAAGGUGACCAUGAGGGGGACAAAACAUAGAUAUAAGUGUAUACACAAAUAUACACACAGCCAACAUACAUUACACACAUCCCUACUACACACAAACAUCACUACACAUACACAUUAAACACAGGCAACACACAACACAGAAAUACUACACAAUGGCAACACACAACACAGACACACACACAAAACGCACAGUGCAUAGAGCCGGAACACAACAGACACCUAUGACAUACAGCCAGCACACAACACACGCACAUGAAUGAUACAGCCAGCACACAACACAUGCACAUGAAUGACGUAAAGCCAGCACACAAUACUUACUACAUACAGCAAGUUCACAACACACACUUACUACAUACAGCCAACACACAAUAUGAAUACUACAUACAGCUAUGACAUACAUCACCCUUCAGGGGUGGGAGGGGGUACUGAGUUUGAGACACUUUGUCCAAGGCUGUUGGCAAGGACUUUAAUUAUUUUCAAUCAUAGAAACAGAGCUCAGGGCACUAGGAGAUGGCUCCAAUGUGGCACACUGCCUUGGUACUCUGGGCAACCUUAAUCCAGCUCUUGGCAAAGCUCUUAUUCAAGGUUCAGCAAGCUCAGCACAAGUUGUGCAUGUGGAGUGUAGACAUAGACAGCCUGGAACUCUAAUCACAUACUGCCUGAUUGACAAUUUGGAGCUUUCUACAUAUCAAUGUACUUGUAAUCCAUCCGCAGAGCUGAGAGAGGCUGUAAAGCGGUCUAUGCACUGUCAAUAAUACAAAGUCAUAAUGGCCCUUGUGUUAUCCCCUUAAUAACUCUCCAAACAAUAUAAAAAAGUUCUAGGCAUAAAAUACUCUCUCUCUAAAAGUCUCCUCUCAUUUGAUGUUUAUAUUAUCCUGCUUUAUAAUAUGUGGUAUUUUGGGAACAUGACAUGAUUUGAUUUUGAAUUUAAUGCAUUUUAAUUUCUUAUUUGCACAGGAUUUUUGUUGUUUUUAAAAAAAAAUUUUUUUUUUUAUUUCAGAGAAAAACAGUGUUUACAUUACAGCCUAUGAACAUCUCUAGUGUGCAGCACUGACGUUCAGCAUCUCCACGCUUUGCAUGGAGACAGCGAACUUUCCCAAUUGAGAUGCAUAAAUAAUAUGUCAGUUGAAAUUCUGGAAGAACCACUGUUACUUAUCCAACCCCCCCUCCUCCCCUUCUUUUUAAUGAAGAUGGGGAGUACUAUUUAAGAAAACUAAGCAGAAGGACGCUGUACUGUGUGAAAGUGGUAGGAAAACAGAAAAUGCACUAUAACUGAGAUAACAGAAUAAUUUAUAAAACAGUGGAUUUAAUAUUUGUUAUUAUGAAUAACAUGGUCAUUUCUAUUCAGGAUGGCUGCUCAUCAGCAACGCUAUGAACCCCUACCAGUUCCCGAUCUCCAGCGCCUUCUGUGGAGUCACAAAACAAGCACGGGACAUGUCAACCAAGUGUGGCCAAAACUGUAUCUGGGAGACGCGUAAGGAGUGCAUUAGUAGCUUGCAAAAGUAA